AUUGAACGCUGGCGGCAGGCCUAACACAUGCAAGUCGAGCGGGGUUUUCGGACCUAGCGGCGGACGGGUGAGUAAUGCGUAGGAAGCUGCCCGAUAGAGGGGGAUACCAGUUGGAAACGACUGUUAAUACCGCAUAAUGUCUACGGACCAAAGUGUGGGACCUUCGGGCCACAUGCUAUCAGAUGCGCCUACGUGGGAUU
rnacentral:rRNA from 1 species